rnacentral:rRNA from 1 species
UACGUAGGGGGCUAGCGUUGUCCGGAUUUAUUGGGCGUAAAGAGCGUGUAGGCGGCCAGGUAGGUCUGCUGUGAAAACUCGAGGCUCAACCUCGAGACGUCGGCGGAAACCAUCUGGCUAGAGUCCGGAAGAGGAGAGUGGGAAUUCCUGGUGUAGCGGUGAAAUGCGCAGAUAUCAGGAAGAACACCCGUGGCGAAGGCGGCUCUCUGGGACGGUACUGGACGCUGAGACGCGAAAGCGUGGGGAGCGAACAGG